GUAGGGUGCAAGCGUUAAUCGGAAUUACUGGGCGUAAAGCGUGCGCAGGCGGUUUUGUAAGACAGUGGUGAAAUCCCCCGGGGCUCAACCUGGGAACUGCCAUUGUGACUGCAAGGCUGGAGUGCGGCAGAGGGGGAUGGAAUUCCGCGUGUAGCAGUGAAAUGCGUAGAUAUGCGGAGGAACACCGAUGGCGAAGGCAAUCCCCUGGGCCUGCACUGACGCUCAUGCACGAAAGCGUGGGGAGCAAACAGGAUUAGAUACCCUGGUAGUCCACGCCCUAAACGAUGUCAACUGGUUGUUGGGAAUUUAUUUUCUCAGUAACGAAGCUAACGCGUGAAGUUGACCGCCUGGGGAGUACGGCCGCAAGGUUA
rnacentral:rRNA from 1 species